rnacentral:misc_RNA from 1 species
AAGUCGUAACAAGGUUUCCGUAGGUGAACCUGCGGAAGGAUCAUUAACACGUUAUCCACGUAUCUACCUCUUGCGAACUUUUUAUCGUUUAGGAGUCGGCAGACCAGCGUAGAUGAUGGAGGUAGAUGUUACUAUGUCCAGUGGCCGACGCCCUGGUUCUACCUGCCUAGCCAAUGUCCCCCCUGCAUCGUCGAGUAUCUUUUUUUUAAAUGUGGUGUAAAAAAAGAGAAAGAGUGCGGGGUGGUGGCUUGGGUAUUCUGGUUCAUAUGACUCGAAUCAUAGUAGUUUAUAAUCUUAUUCACCCUUUUUUACUAAAUUUGUUGAAUUGUGAUGGUCUCGGAGGUAACACUUCGUAGCACUCACGUAAAUAAAACACUAUACAACUCUUAGCAACGGAUAUCUCGGUUCU